GGUUUCACGACCGCAACCGCAUCGCCCCUUCCCCACACACACGAACAAUCGAGCUGAAGCGAUGGAGUGCAGGGCUUUUACAGACCUGUGCUUUUAACCGUGAUAACUCUCAACAACGGAUGUCUUGGCUCUCGCAACGAUGAAGAACGCAACGAAAUGCGAUACGUAGUGUGAUUUGCACUGUACGUGAACCAUCGAAUCUUUGAACGCAUAUUGCACUCGAGGCUUCGGCCGAGAGUAUGCCUGCCUGAGCGUCAGCGUGUACCCUCAUUCUAAUUUAACGAUUAGAGUGGAGAUGGGCGUCCGAUUGGGUUUUUACAACCCGGUGGGUCGACUGAAAGACAGUCGCGGUGCGACCGAUCGCACGAUCAGCGUGGUAGACCUUUUUAAGGACGGAUCGCUCGAUCAGAUUGGACACACUUCGAAUGCAAACACUGGCACGUUUCGAUUUCGUUGGUCUUUACGACUGAUGAAGCAGAGGCGUGUCAUCUCACCUUUUGAC
rnacentral:rRNA from 1 species